AGCGAACGCUAGCGGCAGGCUUAAUACACGCAAGUCGAGGGGUAGCAAGAUUGUAGCAAUACAAUUGUUGACGACCGGCAAACGGGUGCGGAACACGUACACGACCUUCCUACAAGUGGGGAAUAGCCCAGAGAAAUUUGGAUUAAUACCCCGUAACAUAGCGAUGUGGCAUCACAUUGCUAUUAUAGCUUCGGCGCUUGUUGAUGGGUGUGCGGCUGAUUAGAUAGUUGGCGGGGUAACGGCCCACCAAGUCUACGAUCAGUAGCUGAUGUGAGAGCAUGAUCAGCCACACGGGCACUGAGACACGGGCCCGACUCCUACGGGAGGCAGCAGUAAGGAAUAUUGGACAAUGGACGCAAGUCUGAUCCAGCCAUGCCGCGUGAAGGAUUAAGGUCCUCUGGAUUGUAAACUUCUUUUAUAAGGGACGAAAAAAGGUCUUUCUAGAUCGUCUGACGGUACCUUAUGAAUAAGCACCGGCUAACUCCGUGCCAGCCGCCGCGGUAAGAC
rnacentral:rRNA from 1 species